ensembl:lncRNA
GAGCUUAGGGUCCUUCCCUGCCGUCUUGGCCCGACUCUCUGUGGUGCACAUUUAACACACCUGUACUCACCUCUGCUUGGGGCAUGUGAAUGGCUGAUUGCUCUUUUGCAGGCAGUAUGAUCGUGUGUUUCUGUGUAUGUUACUUUUGUGGAGGGUAAAAGUGGUCCCUCACAGUUUAGCAAAUCUCCAAAAUUCCUGACGGGAAUGUCCGUGAAAAUACGGCGACUGAUCUCAUGCCAGAAAUGCCUUUUAUUGUAUGUGGCAAAAUGGUCUUAUGUACAUAUUAUUUUAUUCACAAAGAGAAGUCAUACUUUCCCCGAAAGGUGAGAGGUAUGGUACACAUCAGAGAUUUUCUUCCUGAAAGGGAAACCUUUCUUCAUUGCUUUACAACUAAAUCAUAGGAACUUACAUAUACAGUGAUUGCUUUUUGAUCACUAGAACGUCUUUUUUCAUAGUUCUUUUGUGUCAUUGCAGUGUUGGGCUCCUUUUUAUGAGACAAUAAAGAGUGUAAAAUGGAUGCCCGGUCAGUGGUUCCCAAGGAUAGGGCAGCUUGGUGUGGCCAGACAGGUGAAAACUCGAUUUGGAAGCACAUUCUUCUUCCUGAUGGAAAUCACCAACAUCAGUUUUUCCUCCGCCCCACAGUCACCAGGUUUCGUUUUCUUUUUGUAGGAAUGUGCUGUAGGAGAAUUUUCUACAUUGUUUUGAAUUGUAUCAGGUCCAGAGAGAAUUAGCGAGACAGGGAGCUCUCCCUCAAAUUUCCUCUGACCAGGUGGCCGAGAGCAUCCUUUAGGGUAUGGUGUGCUGGGGUUUGUUGCGCUCAUGUGCAUCUCUGUAGAGAGUCAAGUCUGGGCUUCUUCCCUUGAGGUUUUGUGUAACUGUGGACACUUUAACGACUGAAUGCCGGUGAGAUGGCAGUAGACGUUUGGGCUCUGGCUGCACAUGAGGCAGCCAAACUGAGGAGGAGUAAAUAAGGUAGGUGGGAAAUUGAAGGCUUCUGAAGACAGGUUCUUAUCGUUCCUGCAGUGCAGUGGGACCUGGGGAUAAAACUGACCCAGAACUCAAUGCCACAGAUGCAGCCACUGGUUUAGUCUUCUUAUCCUGUAACAUCCUUACUGUUUAUUUCCUUCUUGGUUAUUCCAUCAGCUUCAGAUGAAGAAAGAACAGCAGAGCCCAUUACUUACAGAAUACAGUUUUAUUUAACCUUCUUGAAGGUAUGUUAAGAUCAUUUUGUAUAAAUCUUCCAGAUACUGGCAUUUUCAUUUCCAAUUUUUUCCUGUAGGUUCAAGGUCUUGCAAUUUAAAAAACUUUGAAAAGAAUCUUUAAGUAUGUGUUCAAGAAUUUUUUAACAGUUUGAUUGCAUCUUCCCUAGGUAUACGUCCUUCAUUUUGCAUCUCAGAAACUUGUGCCUUUGUUCUCCAGGAGCCACAUUGUCAGUGAAUGUUGAACUUACGGUGGACUGUUGACAAACAGUUGUCUCUCAUUUUGAAAGUUGUUUUAAUUUUUCAAAAAUAUAAACACAUGAGCUGUUUGUUUUUUCAGCUUGCUUUAAAAAAGGAAAAUGUAAAUAGAAUCCUGCAAAUAUUAUACCAGAGAGGUUACCUUGUGUGGUGGCUGGGUUGUGGGUAUGUUCUGAGGUGGAGACCCUGCUGGCUUUGGGUUGUACUCCGGUGCAACCCUGCAGAAGGCUGACCCUAACAGGCUGCAGCUGCUCUCUUCCCGGAACAUUUAUCUGGGUCACCAGAAAAUUAAGAAUCUUACACAGAGAAUCUCUGCAGGAACAUUAUUAAGUAAAAGACUUUGUCUCAGAGGCCAAAGGUGAGGAUAGGUUUCUUUUCUGUUUUUUUUUUUUUUUUUUUUUUUUAAAUGAAAACUUAAGCUUUGUUGCUAAUGGGCCUCCUCUGUGCAUAGCUUUAGGAAACAGCUCUGUCAUCAAGUGAGACAUCUCAGGGAAAGCAGCUUUGCAUUUUUCAUUUUGUUUUUGUCACUAGCUGUGUUCAUUAAAAUACUUACAUUUUUUAUUUUUUUAAUUUCCUCAAUACCUUUUUUUUUCUGCUGUGCAGCCUGGUGACCCAGUUACACAUACAUGUAUACAUUCUAUUUUCUCCCAUUAUCAUGCUCCAUUAUAAGUGACUAGACAUAGUUCCCAGUGCCACACAGCAGGAUCUCAUUGCUAAUCCAUUCCAGAGGCAAUAGUCUGCAUCUAUUAUCCCAAGCUCCUGGAUUAGGAAGAUGUAGUAUAUAUACACAAUGGAAUACUACUCAGCCAUAAAAAAGAACAAAAUAAUGCCAUUUGCAGCAACAUGGAUGGAACUAGAGACUCUCAUACUGAGUAAAACACUUUUAAGAACACUGAUUUCUGGUUUGAAAAAAAAUCACUCGUGUGGAACUGGUGUAUGUGCCUUGUAGGUAUGCAUAUGUACCAUGUGUGUGUGGCACAUGUGUGUUUGUAUACUAUGUGGGUGUUGUAUGUCCAUAGGUACCAUGCAUACAUUGUACACGUGUGUCUGUACCAUGUACAUGUGUAUUAUACUUGCACAUGUAAAUUUAGCCAAGGAAGGGAAGGAACUGGCAGUGGUAAAUGUAAGACUUUGAAACUCAGGAAGGCAAAAUAAAUGGGAAGAUAAAGUGUGUUCAUGGAUCAGGAGAAUUAAUAUUGUGCAUAUGUGUGCACAUUUGUAUGUAUGCACAGAUACCAUAACCACUCUGCACAUAUGUGGCCUGUAUAUUAUAUAUGUGUUUAUGCAUGUACAUUGUAUGUAUAACAUAUACUACAUGCACACAUGUGUAUGUGUACAUUGUGUGCAUUUACACUGUAUAUAUGCUAUAAAAAUACACUAUAUGUGUAUAUGUGUGCAUUACAUAUAUUUCAUACAUGCACUAUAUGUAUAUAUAUACAUACAUUCUAUGCAUGUAUGAUGUGCAUAUACUCUGUAUGUACAUAGUGUAUACAUUAUGGUUAAUGUUAGUGCAUAUGUUCAUUGUGUGUAUGCAUGUAUACAUGCCAUAGAUGCUGUGUAUCCAUGCUGCAUUAUAUAUGUAUGAACACUGUGUGUAAACUACGUGUGUAUCCACUGUAAGGAUAUAUAUGGCUGUUUCUCUGUAUGUGUGGACACACUAUGCAUGUGCUGUAUAUGUGCAUACACUCUGUAUAUGUCUGCAUAAUAUGUAUAUAUGAACACUAAACUAUAUGUGUAUCCACCGUAAGGAUAUAUAUGGCUAUAUUAUGUGUGCACAUGUAACUAUCUUUGUAUGUGUGGACACUCUGUGCAUGUGCUGUAUAUGUGCGUACACUCUCUAUAUGUCUGCACAGUAUGUAGUGUCAGGAAUACAGCUCCAGCAGGGCUCCAGCGCAUGACCAUUUGGCUGGCUUGGGGAGAGUAAUGUGUGAAACACUCGUUCCGGAUCGCAUAGUAUACGAAAUUUGGCAAGUUAAUGGGCCUUUGCAAUGAUGUAGGGACCAAACACUUCACUGAUGGAUGUGUGUGUGUUCACUUAAUCAUCAUAACAGCCCUGUGAAGUAGGUUUUAUCUCCAGAUGAGGACUGAGAUUUACUGGUGACUUGUGUAAGGAAAGGAAACUUAAAAGUAAUGGUAGCAUCAUGUCAACUAUCUUUUCUUCAUUUACUUUCUUAUCACAACCUUUGUUAGCAUUUAACUAACAACCUGGAAGUUGCCACUCAUCAGGAAAUAGGAUCAUCUUCCAACUGUUUAUAUUUAUUCAAAGAGUAGUGACUGCUGUUUUCCUGUCACUGUGUAGCAAAAUGCCAUUAAUGUUGCCAGUGUGAGCAGUUCAAAAUAAACACAGUAUCACUCUUAAAAUUGAAAAUGAACAUAAGUUCAUUUUUUAGGUAUUGUUUGGAAGGAUAAGAAAAAAGACAUUUAAGAUGAAAGGAGGGUUUCUUUGCCAUUUCUUUGGGAAUUUCCUUUUGGUGGAUUAUUGCUAGAAUAUUCUUUUUUUUUUUUUUCUUCCCCUCAGGGUUCUGCUUUUGGUGAAACGAAAGUAGUUAAAGUCUUUGGGUUUUGUCUCAGCCAAGUUCAGCUUACUAAUUACUACAGUAAAUCACAUAAAAUUACAUACUAGUUAAUAUAAGUACCUGGAAGGCAGGAGUUGGUUUUAUACUUUUUGUAGCUACAGCACUAAUGGCUGCAAACUGUUCCUCUGGCCAUUCCUAGACAAACCUUCACAGGGUUAUGUGCCAAGCAUGGUAUUAGUUCCAGAGGAUACAAAAAUGAAUUCAAGCUUUAAUUUGUGAAGCUCUCACCACACUUGGAGAGCACGUUGACAACUGGUGUGACAAAGUGUAAAAAACAGGUGUUCAGACUGUUUUGGGCAUGUAGAAAAUGGAAUUGACUUGAUGUGAUAAAAUUUUCGAAUUUACUUUUGUGUUUAUUCUACUGAUAAUCCUGAUGCUUUCUUUUUAACCUUAAAGAUUGUUGUUAAUCACUGAUGAAUUGGUAAGCAACUCUGUGUGUGUUCUAAAUCUAGUGAUGCGUUCAUUAACUGGAGACCAUUCACCUCGAUGGGGACAGUAAUAUGUCAAAAGACGGCCCAGUUCCACGCCAUCGAAGGGUCGUUAAAUACCACCGGGUGCAUCCUUGCUGGGAUUUGCUCAGGUGGGAAAUGGCAGCAUUUCGUCUUUUGCUGAUAGGUGCACUCAGGGUGCGGGAGUGAGCAGUUCAAAUUUAGAUGU